GAUAUUGCACAAUGGGGGAAACCCUGAUGCAGCCAUGCCGCGUGUGUGAAGAAGGCCUUCGGGUUGUAAAGCACUUUCAGUAGGGAGGAAAGGUAAUAACUUAAUACGCUAUUGCUGUGACGUUACCUACAGAAGAAGGACCGGCUAACUCCGUGCCAGCAGCCGCGGUAAUACGGAGGGUCCGAGCGUUAAUCGGAAUUACUGGGCGUAAAGCGUGCGCAGGCGGUUUGUUAAGCGAGAUGUGAAAGCCCCGGGCUCAACCUGGGAAUUGCAUUUCGAACUGGCGAACUAGAGUCUUGUAGAGGGGGGUAGAAUUCCAGGUGUAGCGGUGAAAUGCGUAGAGAUCUGGAGGAAUACCGGUGGCGAAGGCGGCCCCCUGGACAAAGACUGACGCUCAGGCACGAAAGCGUGGGGAGCAAACAGGAUUAGAUACCCUGGUAGUCCACGCCGUAAACGAUGUCUACUCGGAGUUUGGUGUCUUGAACACUGGGCUCUCAAGCUAACGCAUUAAGUAGACCGCCUGGGGAGUACGGCCGCAAGGUUAAAACUCAAAUGAAUUGACGGGGGCCGGC
rnacentral:rRNA from 1 species